AGUGAACGCUGGCGGCGUGCUUAACACAUGCAAGUCGAACGGUAACGGGCCUUCGGGUGCCGACGAGUGGCGAACGGGUGAGUAAUGCAUCGGAACGUACCUUUCAGUGGGGGAUAACGUAGCGAAAGUUACGCUAAUACCGCAUAUUCUGUGAGCAGGAAAGCAGGGGAUCGCAAGACCUUGCGCUGAUUGAGCGGCCGAUGUCAGAUUAGCUAGUUGGUGAGGUAAAGGUUCACCAAGGCGACGAUCUGUAGCGGGUCUGAGAGGAUGAUCCGCCAAACUGGGACUGGGACACGGCCCAGACUCCUACGGGAGGCAGCAGUGGGGAAUUUUGGACAAUGGGGGCAACCCUGAUCCAGCCAUGCCGCGUGAGUGAAGAAGGCCUUCGGGUUGUAAAGCUCUUUCGGCCGGGAAGAAAUCGCACAGGCUAAUACCUUGUGUGGAUGACGGUACCGGAAUAGGAAGCACCGGCUAACUACGUGCCAGCCGCCGCAGUAACAC
rnacentral:rRNA from 1 species